CUCCUUUUGUUGGGAUUAUUAGAGAAGGUCUAAGAGAUUCUUGGAAAUUCAAAAAUUGAGGGAAAACAAGAAAGAGUAUGACUUAAAAACAGCAAUAUCAUUGCUCAAGCAAAUGGCAAGCACAAAGUUUGUCGAAACAGCUGAAGCUCAUUUCCGUCUCAACAUUGACCCAAAAUACAAUGAUCAACAGCUGAGGGCAAUAGUGAAUUUACCCAAGGGAACUGGACAGACGGUUAGAGUGUCUGUUCUCACUCAAGCAAUUUUUCUGCUUAAGUG